rnacentral:lncRNA from 1 species
GUGGAAAAGAACACAAGGAGGAAUUGGUGAGAACAUCUAGCUAGCAUCUCCAAGUCCUGUGGAGGGAGCCAGCAGUGCUGGUCCAAAGAGGACCCAGAGAGUGAACUCAGGGUGAGCCAUGUGUCACAAUCCCAUGUGGUUAUAAUCUCUAUCCAGAGAGGAAGAUAUAAGCAGGUAUCUAGAGUUCACUGAACAACCACCCUUGACUACCUGAGGGUGUCCCUGUUUUAGAAAGGACAAAGCAGAUAGCACACAUAUGAACCUUUGCCCGAAUACAUACAGAGGAGCAAUAUGGAUAAAGA